UCCGUUUGAUCCUGGCGGAGGUCACUGCUAUCGGGGUUCGAUUAAGCCAUGCGAGUCGAGAGGGUUCGGCCCUCGGCGUACUGCUCAGUAACACGUGGAUAACCUGCCCUAGGGAAGGGGAUAACCCCGGGAAACUGGGGAUAAUACCCUAUAGAUUACAGAUGCUGGAAUGCCCUGUAAUCCAAAGUUCCGACGCCCUAGGAUGGAUCUGCGGCCGAUUAGGUUGUUGUUGGGGUAAUGGCCCAACAAGCCCGUAAUCGGUACGGGUUGUGGGAGCAAGAGCCCGGAGUUGGAUUCUGAGACACGAAUCCAGGCCCUACGGGGCGCAGCAGGCGCGAAAACUUUACAAUGCGGGCAACCGUGAUAAGGGAACCUCGAGUGCCUGUAAAUGCAGGCUGUUCAGGUGCCUAAAACACACCUGAAGAAAGGGCCGGGCAAGACCGGUGCCAGCCGCCGCGGUAAUACCGGCGGCUCGAGUGGUGGCCGCUUUUAUUGGGCUUAAAGCGUUCGUAGCUGGGUUGUUAAGUCUCUUGGGAAAUCUGGCGGCUUAACCGUCAGGCGUCUAAGGGAUACUGGCAAUCUUGGAACCGGGAGAGGUGAGGGGUACUUCGGGGGUAGGAGUGAAAUCCUGUAAUCCUCGAGGGACCACCUGUGGCGGAGGCGCCUCACCAGAACGGCUUCGACAGUGAGGGACGAAAGCUGGGGGAGCAAACCGGAUUAGAUACCCGGGUAGUCCCAGCCGUAAACUAUGCGCGUUAGGUGUAUCGGUGACCACGAGUUACCGAGGUGCCGAAGGGAAACCGUGAAACGUGCCGCCUGGGAAGUACGGUCGCAAGGCUGGAACUUAAAGGAAUUGGCGGGGGAGCACCACAACAGGUGGAGCCUGCGGUUUAAUUGGACUCAACGCCGGGAAGCUCACCGGAUAAGACAGCAGAAUGAUUGCCGGGCUGAAGACUCUGCAUGACUAGCUGAGAGGAGGUGCAUGGCCGUUGUCAGUUCGUACUGUGAAGCAUCCUGUUAAGUCAGGCAACGAGCGAGACCCA
rnacentral:rRNA from 1 species